rnacentral:rRNA from 1 species
AUGGGCAGUCGGCAGAGAGUGGUCGCCAUGCUGCUGCUGCUGGCCGCGUGCGCGGCGACACCGGCGACGGCGGAGCACAGGAUCUACAUCAACUGGCUGGCCCACAGCAACUACUCGGACUGGGCCAAGAGCCACGGGCCCUUCUCCAAGGGAGACUAUCUCGUGUUCUACACGCCGGACAAGAAGCUGGAUGUGGUGGAGGUGAACGAGCGCGGGUUCGACAUGUGCGACCCCAGAAACCCCAUCUACCGCUCCUCCGGCGGCCGUGAUAUCCCCAUCCUGCUCAGCGAGGCCAAGGUCUACUACUUCAUCUGCAGCGUCGGCAGGUACUGCCCCGACGGGAUGCGCCUCGCCAUCGAGGUCCAUGACAUGCCGCGGACGCCGGCCUCCGCACGCGACGACACGUCCGGCGCUGCAAUGGUGGAGAGCAACAUCACCUCACCGGCGCCUGGACCCCGAGCGAGCUCGGAGAGCGAGGGAGAGGGGCAGGCAGGAGGACGAAGCGACGAUGCUGUUCAUCUGUUCCGGAAAACAACAAGCACGUUGGGCUGA